rnacentral:tRNA from 1 species
GGGGUCGUGGCCGAGAGGCUCAGGCACUUGAUUGUCGAUCAAGACUACGCGAGUUCGAAUCUCGUCGAUCCCG